UACGAUGCUAUGAAAAGUAUCUCGACAAAAUAACGAAAUCGAUAUUCCUACUCUUCGCGCACCGCUGUUUCUUUCUUGGCUGAUCUGUCCUGAGCCGACUUGUAUCCACUGUUCACACGGAAAAAGCGUAAUAAUUCCUUGCUUGAGUAUACAAGGGUUUUGUUUACUCCUGAUUUUUCCAGAAGCUCUUCAAGCCAGCCGGAUCAUUAAUUUCUAUUUAACCACUACACAUCAAGCAUAAUGAAACAAGAAGCACAGAUUAAGGACACGAACAGGUCCACAUACAAGAACAACAAAGCCAACAUAUUCUUCUAAAGGUAAAGGUAAAUCUGUUGCCUUAUAAACUAUCGUUUCGCUUUGCGCUCCACUGCUGACAGCUGUAACCCGUCUGCGUUAAACGUUGACUGCUGACAGAGAAAGGGCGUCACCGAUCAAGGAUGGAAUACUAGGGGGCACCUUUUUCGCUGAACAACAAAGGACACCUCUUUAUAGACGCACCGUCGUCUUUUAUAAGUCUUAAUAACAAGGAUUUUCGCUCUCGUCGUAGUCAGGAUGAUCGGAUCGUUAUCGCCAGAGAUUUGUACCCCGUCUCUGAGGUGAUUGCCGCUGUGGCCCCACGCAACCCACGAGGGUCCGAGGGCCGGAUCCAUCGGUGUGAGGUUUGCCAUAAAGGCUUCAGCAUGAAGCAUCAUCUCACAGAGCACAUGCGAACGCAUACCGGUGAAAAGCCCUUCCGCUGUGACAUCUGCCACAAGGCAUUUGCUCAGGCGGGAACGAGGAAUUUUCAUAGGAAAAAUGCCCACUCACUUAAAAAAAGCGCCUUACCUCCUGAUUUCGCGCUCAGACUUGCUGAAGGGUCGUGAAUAUGUAAACGGUCAACACACUCCAAAUAGCCAGCUAGCCUGUGUAGUCAAUACAGAAACAGCUUUCUCAACAGCACAGGACCUUUAGUUGUAAAUUGCUGCGUUGAAAAAUCAUUGUCCUGUGUUAUUUCUGUCUAGUGUGGAAAAUCAAGACGUGUCUAGAAGGCCAAAUAUGAUACUCAAGUGACGAAAUCCAUCGGAUCCUUAGGAUAUCGAUUAGUCUUGGAAUAACGAUAGCGCGAUACAUUUUUAGGAGGAGGGAUUUAACCUCAAGUCAUAAUCAGUAAAUCAAAUGGUUUGCGGACGAAAAAUCUUCUUAUAGGGCUUCGGCUUAGGACGAGGAAAACAAUGAAUCGAUCAACUUUAAUGCAAAACAAGAAGGUAUUUUCGUCAAUGAAGUCAGUUACGUGGAUAUUUCAGUAGUGGGUAAUCCGAGUACGAAUGAACAUGCUUUUACGGUUAAUUUAAUCUGAGAUAUCUGACUGGCGACAAACUAUCUAGACAAAAACGCUACAUAGAUAUAUCUGUAUCGUUGUAGACUGAUAUUUAUUAAAAAAAAUUAAUGUAACUUAAGCUUAAUUUGAUUCGGCGUUAUUAUAGGCACUACAUGCGACUCGACACUUUAUACUGCGCUGGCUAUUUUUACUUUAAUAAUUAUUG